UUGUCGCAGGAGCGUUGGCACC
rnacentral:miRNA from 1 species